rnacentral:piRNA from 1 species
UCUUGACAGUGGGAUGACGAUAA